GACGAACGCUGGCGGCAGGCCUAACACCUGCAAGUCGAACGAGUGGCGGACGGGUGAGUAAUGUCUGGGAAACUGCCCGAUGGAGGGGGAUAACUACUGGAAACGGUAGCUAAUACCGCAUACCAUCGGAUGUGCCCAGAUGGGAUUAGCUAGUAGGUGGGGUAACGGCGAACCUAGGCGACGAUCCCUAGCUGGUCUGAGAGGAUGAACAGCCACACUUGAACUGAGACACGGUCCAGACUCAUACGGGAGGCAGCGGUGGGGAAUAUUGCACAAUGGGCGCAAGCCUGAUGCAGCCAGGCCGCGUGUAUGAAGAAGGCCUUCGGGUUGUAAAGGACUUUCAGCGAGGAGGCGUUACUCGCAGAAGAAGCACCGGCUAACUCCGUGCCAGCAGCCGCGGUAAUUC
rnacentral:rRNA from 1 species